CUCCAGUGGAGGGGGACGCUGGAUGGGACCCACCAGCCCCAAGGUCCCCACCAGCCACCUGCCUGCCCUCGCUGUCUCCCAGCCUGUCCCCACUCUGGGGCGGCAGGCAGGACCCUGGAUGUGACCUGCCUGCCCCAGCCCCACGAGGUCCCCACCAGCCACCUGCCUGCCCUCGCUGUCUCCCAGCCUGUCCCCACUCUGGGACGGCAGGCAGAUGGAGCCUGUGCCUUUUCCUGUCACUGGUUGCUCUUCUCUGCUUCUGCUACUCGUCCCCCAUGACCCCAGCGAGGACACCUUGUCCGCCAGCCCUUCCUGACCUCAGCUGGCCCUUUCCCACCAAGGCUGGGUCCCACAGUCUGAGGCCGAGGGGGUGGUGGGGCAGAGGUGCUGUGCUCUCCCUGGCCUCCGGGCCCGGCACCUGCUCUUCUCUCCCAAGCGCUCAGUGACUUCACUCAGUCCCACAGGGCUGGUGGCUCUUCUCAGCACGGUACUUGGGACUGUGCCUCCUGGCACACCUUCCCUCCACUCCUGCGUGUGGGCCAAGGCCCCAGGGAGGAACAGUCCCGGGUCUCGGCAGCCCCACAUCAUCACAAAUCCUCAACAGGCGUCAGCCCUUCCUCACAGGUGCCAUCCUCUCCAGGUGCCCGCGGAUGGGCCGGCCUGUUCUGCAGUCCCCACUCUGUCUGCGUCCCCUUCUCUCUUUGUCACAGUCCCCGUGAAACCAGCCAUGGUUCUGGGACACGGUGGCCCACACUUCUGGCACGACAAAGCACAGGGGCUGUGGGAAGAGGCUGGGGAGGGAUGUUCUGGCAUCAAGGGGCUAAAAGCAGAAAGAACCCAGUUGUCGUGCUUUCCCCCUGGGGACGCGUGUGCUGGCCAGCGGAGCCCAGAGCAGCCGGGGCGCACUAGCUUCAGGUGUGGGAAGCGCAGCUGGCUCCGGGCCAGUCUCCAACAGAUGCCAGGAACGUGGCCGGUGCAGCAUCCACCACCAGGCCCAUGACCCUCAGCUGCCGCCUGACCACACCAGCACUGCCCUCCCCUGACAGUCAGCCCUGGACGGGGACCCUGUAGCUCCCGGUGACCUGUGGGGCAGCUGAGUGCCUCUGUGCCAGCAGUCAUUGUUCUCCCCAGGACACAGAGGGACAAGGACGCCUGGCCAGCAAGCAGCAGCCCUCAGUGCUGGGUUUGCUGGACGCCCCCGAGUGGGUGUGGAGAUGAGCAGAAGGGGCCAUGUCCCCCUGGAGAGCAGGCAGGCUCUGACAACCGCCAGGGUUGGUGCCUGGGCCUCUCUGCAGCCUGGCACUGGGGACACACCCCUUCCAGGUGUCUGGGGCCCUCUGAGCCUCUCUGAGUGAAGGGCAGAGCCCCUCAACAUUCUCACACUCCUGGGGACCAGAGGGCCCAGGCCAGAGCCAGACUUGUGGUCACUUCAGCACUGCCCGCACUGGGCCUCCAGCCCUGAGCACACCCCCCUCCUCUGAGCCUCAGUUUCCCUCCCUGUAAAGCAAAA
rnacentral:lncRNA from 1 species